UGCGUAGGCGGGUCUUUAAGUCAGGGGUGAAAUCCUGGGGCUCAACUCCAGAACUGCCUUUGAUACUGAAGAUCUUGAGUUCGGGAGAGGUGAGUGGAACUGCGAGUGUAGAGGUGAAAUUCGUAGAUAUUCGCAAGAACACCAGUGGCGAAGGCGGCUCACUGGCCCGAUACUGACGCUGAGGCACGAAAGCGUGGGAGCAAACA
rnacentral:rRNA from 1 species